UUGUUUGUUUUCUUUUUUUCUUUUUUUAAAUUUUCUUUGCUUCUUUGCUUUGCUUAUUGUAUCGAACAACUGAGUUCACCUACGGGUUUACGAGAGAGAUCGAUCAUCCGAUCCUCUCACCCCAUUGGACGAUCGUUAAAACUAAGUUACUAUUUUAGAAGGAUAGAAUCGACACGCCGUAACGACUUACGUUCGCAGCGGGAAACUCGCCCGAUUAAAUUUUCCGAUAUCGAUGGAGAUUCGUUCGAGGAUCGAGUUGCAAAUAUUUGGAAAAUUUUCGAAAGUUGAUU